rnacentral:rRNA from 1 species
UGAACGCUGGCGGCAGGCCUAACACAUGCAAGUCGACCGGUAACAGGAAGAAGCUUGCUUCUUUGCUGACGAGUGGCGGACGGGUGAGUAAUGUCUGGGAAACUGCCUGAUGGAGGGGGAUAACUACUGGAAACGGUAGCUAAUACCGCAUAACGUCGCAAGACCAAAGAGGGGGACCUUCGGGCCUCUUGCCAUCGGAUGUGCCCAGAUGGGAUUAGCUAGUAGGUGGGGUAACGGCUCACCUAGGCGACGAUCCCUAGCUGGUCUGAGAGGAUGACCAGCCACACUGGAACUGAGACACGGUCCAGACUCCUACGGGAGGCAGCAGUGGGGAAUAUUGCACAAUGGGCGCAAGCCUGAUGCAGCCAUGCCGCGUGUAUGAAGAAGGCCUUCGGGUUGUAAAGUACUUUCAGCGGGGAGGAAGGGAGUAAAGUUAAUACCUUUGCUCAUUGACGUUACCCGCAGAAGAAGCACCGGCUAACUCCGUG